rnacentral:rRNA from 3 species
UGCAGUCGAGCGGACAGAUGGGAGCUUGCUCCCUGAUGUUAGCGGCGGACGGGUGAGUAACACGUGGGUAACCUGCCUGUAAGACUGGGAUAACUCCGGGAAACCGGGGCUAAUACCGGAUGGUUGUUUGAACCGCAUGGUUCAGACAUAAAAGGUGGCUUCGGCUACCACUUACAGAUGGACCCGCGGCGCAUUAGCUAGUUGGUGAGGUAACGGCUCACCAAGGCGACGAUGCGUAGCCGACCUGAGAGGGUGAUCGGCCACACUGGGACUGAGACACGGCCCAGACUCCUACGGGAGGCAGCAGUAGGGAAUCUUCCGCAAUGGACGAAAGUCUGACGGAGCAACGCCGCGUGAGUGAUGAAGGUUUUCGGAUCGUAAAGCUCUGUUGUUAGGGAAGAACAAGUGCCGUUCAAAUAGGGCGGCACCUUGACGGUACCUAACCAGAAAGCCACGGCUAACUACGUGCCAGCAGCCGCGGUAAUACGUAGGUGGCAAGCGUUGUCCGGAAUUAUUGGGCGUAAAGGGCUCGCAGGCGGUUUCUUAAGUCUGAUGUGAAAGCCCCCGGCUCAACCGGGGAGGGUCAUUGGAAACUGGGGAACUUGAGUGCAGAAGAGGAGAGUGGAAUUCCACGUGUAGCGGUGAAAUGCGUAGAGAUGUGGAGGAACACCAGUGGCGAAGGCGACUCUCUGGUCUGUAACUGACGCUGAGGAGCGAAAGCGUGGGGAGCGAACAGGAUUAGAUACCCUGGUAGUCCACGCCGUAAACGAUGAGUGCUAAGUGUUAGGGGGUUUCCGCCCCUUAGUGCUGCAGCUAACGCAUUAAGCACUCCGCCUGGGGAGUACGGUCGCAAGACUG